rnacentral:piRNA from 1 species
UGGUGUGGAUUUUGAGGGAAUUCAAAGUA